UGCAGCAAUGCCGCUUGCUCUGCUCAAGUCCCGCUUGCUCGAAUUGUUCACCGGUUUACCUGAAUUACACCGGUGAACGUCCGAUCUCGUCCUCCUGCAGAAAUCUGCAGCGAUGCCGAAGCAUUACAGGCAUGCGGGGAAGAAAAUGUAAGGAAAAUCCGCCAGAUACAUAACUAGGUCACAAGCAGUUAAUUAAGUCUCUCCAGAUCAGUAUAUCCAUGUUCAGGAAACUAUGCAUCCUCAAAGCCGAAGAUCAAGGGAAAUCAUCAGACAUAUCAUAUCACACGAUAGAUAAUAGGUACCCUAAAUUCAUUGAAGCAUUGAGGGAUUUGGAUGAUU